GACGAACGCUGGCGGCGUGCUUAACACAUGCAAGUCGAACGGAAAGGCCCUGCUUUUGUGGGGUGCUCGAGUGGCGAACGGGUGAGUAACACGUGAGUAACCUGCCCUUGACUUUGGGAUAACUUCAGGAAACUGGGGCUAAUACCGGAUAGGGGCUCCUGCUGCAUGGUGGGGGUUGGAAAGUUUCGGCGGUUGGGGAUGGACUCGCGGCUUAUCGGCUUGUUGGUGGGGUAGUGGCUUACCAAGGCUUUGACGGGUAGCCGGCCUGAGAGGGUGACCGGCCACAUUGGGACUGAGAUACGGCCCAGACUCCUACGGGAGGCAGCAGUGGGGAAUAUUGCACAAUGGGCGGAAGCCUGAUGCAGCAACGCCGCGUGCGGGAUGACGGCCUUCGGGUUGUAAACCGCUUUCGCCUGUGACGAAGCGUGAGUGACGGUAAUGGGUAAAGAAGCACCGGCUAACUACGUG
rnacentral:rRNA from 1 species